UACGUAGGGUGCAAGCGUUGUCCGGAAUUAUUGGGCGUAAAGAGCUCGUAGGCGGUCUGUCGCGUCGGCUGUGAAAACUUGGGGCUCAACCCCAAGCCUGCAGUCGAUACGGGCAGGCUAGAAUUCGGUAGGGGAGACUGGAAUUCCUGGUGUAGCGGUGAAAUGCGCAGAUAUCAGGAAGAACACCCGUGGCUAAGGCGGCUCUCUAGUACGGUACUGACGCUGAGACGCGAAAGCGUGGGGAGCGAACAGG
rnacentral:rRNA from 1 species